AGCUGAGGGAUCGGCAUCGGCCCCGGCCCAGCGGGGCUGCCGGCUGUGAGGGGGCGCGGGGAUUAUAAGUGCUGUGCGUCUUCCUGCCCACCCUGGCUCCUGCCGCACUCUUGUGCAUGUUCUUCCCGGAGCUCUCGAGGUGUUGCGGAGACGCCGCCUCUGCAGGGUAGGAAGUGCCUUCGCUUCUGAGGCCGGGGAAGGAGAAACGGCGGUCUGAGCAGGGCCUAACUGUGACCAGCAAGGUGAGGAGCAGUUCACACAUCCCCUGGCAGAGCCCCAUCAGCAUGUGCUGUCUGAGCUUCCUGCUGAAGGUGGCACUCCAGCAAGAGCUGCCUUUCAGAAUUUGGAAAUUCAACCAGUAUGGACAAAAGUAUCAAUGUUUAUGUCUGUCUUUAGUUUUUGUAUUUCGGUGGUUCAGAUUUCACUGCAAAUUCUUUGAGAUCUUCAGCACAUGGAAAAUUAGAAUCAGUAAUUUAGUAUCAUAAUGAAGAGUAAUUAAGGCCUUUCCUAGAUACCAGAAAGCGAUCAAGGAAAGCUCGCUUCUUUCUUUCCAAGUCUCAUCUGGUGCUAUCAAGAGUAAAUGAAGCACAACUCAUGGUUAAUGAAGUUUUUACUAUUCUACUAAAAUAAAACUUAAUCUCUUAAAAUGCUUCCCUUUUGCCUUUCGUAUAUAAUUUCUGUCCAUACUUUGUCUAUUUUAGUGGAGUCAUAAGCCAUGUUUAGCCUGGACAAACUUCUUUAGAUUUUACUGAUUUCAAAACAUUGUCAAGUAGACACACUAGUGUGUCUUCUCUAUAUAUUGUCAGCCUGAUUCACGUACCUAUAAGUUCGUCUAAGACUCUUUCCACUGUAGCACAGAAAACAAAUGACCUUUCAGGGAAAUACCUAUCAGUGUUUCAAUCACUGCUGCUGCUUUUCACUUAGGAUUAUUGAAAAUCUCAAACUUUAUUCUCCUAGAAGUGCAGAACAACUGCAUUUUAAUCAUUUUAGAUGUUGGAGACCAGUUUAAGAGGGUGAUUUGUAGCAGUAGGCACUACAAUGAUUAAUGAGAUUUCAGUAGCUUUUCCAUAGCUUCUGGCCUAGAGAAAAAAAAAAAUCAACAAACAAAAAAAACCCCACCCCAAACCCAUAAGGCAGAUUAGUUAUGUGCCUUUUGCUGCUUCUUGUAAAAUGUUAAUGGACCCCUAAAGGUUUCAUUUUUGAAUGAGAACCAUUUCAGCAAGAAUUUAAGCAGAUGCAGAGGACAUUCAAGGAACUUGUGAAAAUUCCUUGUGUUCUGCUUUAUAAAGUCUGUUAGGCACAUUUGGCACAAGUUGUGAAUCUGACCCUGAUUUCCAAGCAUUUAAAUGGUCCAAAUAAAAUGCCAUUUCUGUAAUAUUUUUAUAUUUUUUCUUUUUUCCAAGUGUAUAUUAAGUACACAUCUGAAGAAACAAUAUUGUACUCAUUUAUUUUAGAUGUAGGUAGCAGUCACAAGAGAUCAAAUGCUGUUACGUGUAACGAAGUAUGAAGGUGACAAGAUACAUGAACCAGAGGCUUUUCAGCUCGAUCACAUCAUCCAGCACAUAGUUACACAGAUUUUGUAUUUUAGACACCAAUGUCACCUUGGGGUUGAAAUCAUUCUAGAUGAAUUUGUGUGAGUAAGUAUAAAUAAGAUAGUUCCCCACACCCCAGUUAUCUUUCGACUUUAAAAAUAGAAAGGAAAAUGAGUCGUCCUGAAUUUAGAGAUGAGUUAUUUGUGUGUGGUAUUUGUGAUGGAAAAUUCUUUCUAAACUAAACACAGUAAUAAAUUGUCUUCUUCUUUCCUCUCAUAUUUUAAGGGGGCAGCCUGCUUCUAGUGACAGAGUACUAGACUAGACUGAUCCUGGUCUCUUUUAGUAUUUGACUAAUACAUACAGCACUAUCUAUUAAAGUCAUUAAUUGUAUCAAGCAAAAUAUUUUUCUGUAGUUUUUCUAUUAAAUUUCUUUAAAGCCACAUGCAGAAUGUUACUUCCCAUGUUGUAUUUUAGUUCCACUGACUCUAAUAUGGAUGAUACACUGAUGGGCUUUUGAAAUCCUGAAAAAUAUGAAUGUGACGGGGAGCUUAGAUGGGACUUCAAAAAAUAAUAUAAAUCAUUUAACUACUAUUACAAAAUUUUUAUAAAUGCUGAAUAAAGGUGUCAAUUAAUAAAUGUA